rnacentral:sRNA from 1 species
AUACUAUCCAUGGGUACCCUCAAUAGGUGGACCAGCUGAUGUAUUUUUUCUAAAAUAUUUUGUUUUUAUUUUGUGGUGAUUUUUUUACACACAAGGUGAGAAUGGAAGGUAAAAAUGGAAGAAAUUUCUGUUACGUGCCUCCAGCGAGCAUUCAUCCGGAUUGUUCGAGCAAAGAAGGCGCGGCCUUGAGCCCGAGCCGGCCCGCAACUGAAAUACGCAUAUAGUGUAUACAUAUGUAUUCUGAAGCAGCAAUGUGGUCUUUUCACCUCUCUCCGGCGGGCAUGCAUCUGGAUUGUUGGAGCAAAGAGGGGCCGUCCCAGGGACCGGGGCGGCCCGCCACUGAAAAGACUAUGCAAUACCAAGAUAUUGCAUCAGAAAAAAUGUAAUUUAAAUUUUUGUUCGGACAAAACUCAGAAAUAUGCAUGUAGUUGUGUACAUAUGUAUAUGUAUAUGUGUGUUCUCAAUCAUCAAUGUGCUGAAUCAUGCCCAAGAAAUGUAGUUGUUUUUCCCAUUCUAGAAGGCCUAGAAGUUUCGUUAGGCGUCGAUAAAGACGGAAUUUGUUGCUAAAACAUUUUGGAAUUGUGCAGCAACUUUGCAGCAAAGACUAUGCAAUACCAAGAUAUUGCAUCAGAAAAAAAUGUAAUUUCAAUUUUCGGUCGGCCAAAACUCAGAAAUAUGCAUGUAGUUGUGUAUGUGUGCUCUCAAUCAUCAAUGUGCUGAAUCAUGCCCAAGAAAUGUAGUUGUUUUUCCCAUUCUAGAAGGCCUAGAAGGUUCGUUAGGCGUCGCUAAAGACGGUAUUUGUUGCUAAAACAUUUUGGAAUUGUGAAGGAGUACGCUCUUGCUUCUACGGCUUGUCUCUGGUCGAAUAUGUGUAUGAGCUGCUCGGGGUAUUCAGUUAUUUGCUUCGCUCCUAGUGUUGCUAUUUUAUUAGUUUCGCGUACUGCUUAGGGAUACGGUACACUGGAAAUUAUUAGAGGGGAGAAGGUAUAAUCUCUGUUCUACUGGCACUGAGUUGUGCCACGCCCAACCUACCAUAACCCUAAAAGC